rnacentral:miRNA from 1 species
UUUGUAUGGAUAUGUGUGUGUA